rnacentral:rRNA from 1 species
UACGAAGGGGGCUAGCGUUGCUCGGAAUCACUGGGCGUAAAGGGUGCGUAGGCGGGUCUUUAAGUCAGGGGUGAAAUCCUGGAGCUCAACUCCAGAACUGCCUUUGAUACUGAAGAUCUUGAGUUCGGGAGAGGUGAGUGGAACUGCGAGUGUAGGGUGAAAUUCGUAGAUAUUCGCAAGAACAACAGUGGCGAAGGCGGCUCACUGGCCCGAUACUGACGCUGAGGCACGAAAGCGUGGGGAGCAAACAGG